ensembl:lncRNA
CAACAGCUUUGUCAGUGUUGUUUUCUAGGCCUCUGGUCAAGGUAUUCCUCUGGGCCUUUGAUCAAAAGCACUUCAGAGGAAAUAGAUUUGGGAUUCUGCUCAGCAUGACUGACCUGCUGUCAUAGAGAAACAGUCUGUAUGUGUUGCUAUAGAAACACAGUAACAGUCUGUUGUCAUGGAGAUGGAUUCUACCUCUAAGUGGACAAUUGGGAAUAAGGAGAAUUCUAACGUUGGUUGGAAUGUUAGGACAGGAUCUGGGAAUGUUGGCUCUGGGAAUAGAACACCUUUGGAGUUUUAUGGAGUUUAUGUAUAUUGCGUUUUAAUAACAUUCUGUGUGGGUUGCUAUGGUUAAUGCCAACUGGGACUUUAUAAGAUGGCGAAUCAGAGGAUGUACUGAUAUGACCGAAUUUUAUGCUCUGGAAAGACAAAUCACAGAUUUUAAUAAGAGAAAUAUAAAAGAUUACGGAGGAUUAGUAGACUGGCAGGGACUGCAAGAUGAAGGAGAACGAAGGAGUGUAAGGAGCAUAGACUAGAAAGAGACAGCAAGUGGUUAGUUUGGAGGAAUGUCCCGUGACCCCUAAUGCCUACAGGGAGCAGGGACUUUUGGGAGAUGACAAGUGGAGAUUUUCCACAUUUACUAUUUCACCUUAGCAGUGAACCAAUGGGAGAGCUUUCAUUGUCUGAAUGCUUGGCCACUGAUUCACCAUGACGAUGACAAACAAAUACAGGAUGUGGAACACAGAAAGUGGAUGGGAAUGGGUCUGAAACCGCCCACGCCCCCUGCGCUGACCAAUCACAGGACAAUCUGAGCAACGCCUUUGAGCUUUUUGGGAAGUAUGGUCCUUUUUCCUGGCUUCCUUUUUUCCUUUUUUUUUUUAUUUUUAAUUUCUAAUUAUUUUAUUUGCUGUGUCCCUGCCGUGACUCUGCUUCUACAGAUAUACUUCUUGUAAUAUUGAGAUGACAUCAUCUAUAUGUAAUCUGCCUUGUGAUGUCAUCAAUAUUAACCUGCCCCCCCCCCACACCUGAAGCUGCUAUAAGGAGAAUCUAUAUGUUCGGAUCAUGUUAACCGCUUGUGUGUAUCUUGAAGUAUGUGUGUGGGUGUGGGAUGUUCUGAACACCUGUUUUUAUUAUUACCAUCCUGGUUGUUGUGAGGAGGCUGUGUGGGUGAGGGAGGCGGGAUGAGGAGCCUGGUUGAGGAGACUGAGUGGGGGAGGAGGCUGGGUGAGGGAGAGGCCUGGAUGGGGGAAGCUGGGAUGAGGCUGGGUGGGUGAGGAUGGGUGAGGAAGUGUGUAACUUUAAGACCCUUAGUAGAACUCUCAGGGUUCUGUGAAGUUCUAGAACUCCUCCUAGUGGCUCUAUGGACUGUAAAAAGAACUGACCUCCAACCCCUGACACUUUCAGGACCUCAGUAUCUACACAAUGACCACGCCUCCUUUAGCUGGUCUCUCUGGUUUCUUUCAUUUACUAUUCAAUCUCUGUCGAUAUUUUCUGCAUUGUUUUGUUUCCUCGUUAAAGCAGCAUGGAUGGUUGUGUGGUCUGGUCUGGGCUCAGACUGAAUCUGAUGACGCAACGAUGUGGCAAUAAAGAUAUACAUACUCAAACUGAUGCACACUGUGUGUGUGAUCCUGGUUUUACUAUACAUACACCAUCUGAUUGUUUUCAUGUUAAUGCAUAAAUUUGUUCAUAUGUUAAUUAGGGCUCCAGUGCUAAAAACAGCCCCACCCCAAAAAGACAGGUUGGGUCCCACCCCCAAGACAGUGCUAUCCUGAAUACAGUUAGGCUCGACCCCAAAAGCCAAACCAACUGCCAA